UGAUCGUUGCCCGAGUGGUUUAUGGGUAAUCUAGGAUAGUGUCUGAGGUGCCCACUAGAGGGCUAUACCGAGGCCACCGUGGGUUCGAAUCCCACACGAUCAA
rnacentral:tRNA from 1 species